rnacentral:rRNA from 1 species
UACGUAGGGGGCAAGCGUUGUCCGGAAUUAUUGGGCGUAAAGAGCGCGUAGGCGGUCCGAUAAGUCGGCUGUGAAAGUCCAGGGCUCAACCCUGGAAAGCCGGCCGAUACUGUCGGACUAGAGUCCGGAAGAGGCAAGUGGAAUUCCCGGUGUAGCGGUGAAAUGCGCAGAUAUCGGGAGGAACACCAAUGGCGAAGGCAGCUUGCUGGGACGGUACUGACGCUGAGGCGCGAAAGCGGUGGGGAGCAAACAGGG